rnacentral:rRNA from 1 species
GAAACUUGUGCUAAUACCGGAUAAGCCCUUCGGGGGAAAGAUUUAUCGCCUUUGGAGCGGCCCGCGUCUGAUUAGCUUGUUGGUGAGGUAAUGGCUCACCAAGGCUACGAUCAGUAGCUGGUCUGAGAGGAUGGCCAGCCACACUGGGACUGAGACACGGCCCAGACUCCUACGGGAGGCAGCAGUGGGGAAUCUUGCGCAAUGGGCGAAAGCCUGACGCAGCCAUGCCGCGUGGAUGAUGAAGGUCUUAGGAUUGUAAAAUCCUUUCACCGGGGACGAUAAUGACGGUACCCGGAGAAGAAGCCCCGGCUAACUUCGUGCCAGCAGCCGCGGUAAUACGAAGGGGGCUAGCGUUGCUCGGAAUUACUGGGCGUAAAGGGCGCGUAGGCGGACAGUUAAGUUGGGGGUGAAAGCCCGGGGCUCAACCUCGGAAAUGCCUUCAAUACUGGCUGUCUUGAGUACGGGAGAGGUGAGUGGAACUCCGAGUGUAGAGGUGAAAUUCGUAGAUAUUCCGGAAGAACACCAGUGGCGAAGGCGACUCACUGGCCCGUUACUGACGCUGAAGCGCGAAAGCG